GUCUAUAGCCAAACUACACUGAAUGUGCCUGAUUUUGCCUAUCUCAGAAGAUAAGCAGGGUAACGCCUGGUUAGUACUUGGAUGGAAGAUAAAUUGUGUUUGUUUACU
rnacentral:rRNA from 1 species